CUUGGCAUUCAAGAAAAACAGCUCUAUGGUGGCGUUGUCCUUUAGAUAGGAGAUGCUUUCAAUGUAGAACCUGAAAAGAAAAGCAAAAGAGGUGGAGUGAUGAAAGAGCUUGUGCUCUACGUGAUGACUCAGCACCACCUCAGCCCAUCAAAACAACUGGAUCAUCAAGAGGAUUAUCUUGCUUCUAAAAAGCCCUUUGCGUUGUCUUUAUGCUUUAAACAGUCCCUUAUCUGUUUAUUUUGUAAACUUCAUUUUGUGUCACGUUCUGGCAUUUUAUCUUCAUUCCUUUUCCUAAUCUAUUUCUGUGCCACCAAUGUACAUCUCAUAAAAUUUUCACUGCCAGAAAUCUACUUCUGGGUUCCCUCUUGUUGACUUCAGCUCUGCGUAAGACAAAUUUUAAAAUUCCUUCUUCCUAUAUUUUUGUGUUUAUCAGGCAGCAGCUAUGGCUGCAGAGUAAUUAACCAGCAAUAGCUAAGGACCUUGCACUACCUACCAGUACCACGGGUAUCAAUGCUGGGGAUGGCUGUAAUGCAUUUCUUUUUAAGCAAUGGCUGAGAUGACUUCUCAGAACUCAGUAAAAAGCUGCCCGCUCCAAACUCUGUGUCCAAAAAAACCCACCACUGCAUUAGCUGAUUACCUCAAAUAUUUGCAGUUAUAUAGAAAGUUCAUCACGUGUAUUAAACUGUUCAGUGUUUCAUGUCUUGCUUGCUUUGAAACUUUGAUCCUUAGGCAGUGAAAUUUCUGAGAGUUUUGCCACCAUCUCAACUAAAGUUCAGCCCUUGUCACAAAUCUGCGUUGUGACCCUUGGGGUAAAAAUGACAAGAUAAAAGUAAGUGCCAGAUAUCAUCAAAGUUAAUAACUGACCAUUUUGCAUGAGUAUGUUGUGUAUUUUAAGGAUUCCGUUAGCAACAGAGAAAGCCUGUUCAGUGUGUGAUCACGGUGAAUUUUGCAUUUAGUUUUUAUUUUUAGUAAGAAAUACAUUUAUCUGCACACUUCAUUUCAGGGCGAUCUUUAAGUUGCAGUACAUUGGCAGCAAUGUUCCUUACAUAAAUUCCAGUACUAUCGUGCGUUGUCAGAAGCAAUUAGGAUAGGGAAAGUGCUGGGGAAAUGCUGUCUGCAUUAGGAACUUAAAAAAACAGUGAGAUACCUUAGAAAACUGGGUAGAGACACAGGGUCCAGUUACAGAGAAAUCUAUUCUGCUUACUCCAAGACUCAAGUGUCUAGCAAGGGAGCUGUGAGCUGCUGAAACUCCUGGGGCUUCACACAAACACUAAAAGGAUUGUCCAUGUUGAGUUAUUUGCAGAACAGGGGGCUUUAAAUGUGACCUUCUUAUGGGUGAAGUUCAGAGCUUUGCAGUGCUCCUAGGUGUCUUCUGAAGACCCUUCAAAACAGUUUAUUUCCUGACCAACUACUUAUUGGAGUGAAACAUUUUGAGCUCCUCUGCUGAAGUGUUCCUGCUAUUACCUUUCCUCUUCACCCCCUAGAAAAGUUCAAAUGAGAAUUAAAAAAAAAAAAGAAAAAAAAAAAGAAAAAAAAGACAUCUGAAUGUACGAUCGUUAAGGAUGAAAUUUAAAAAAAACACCUUUUUUCCUCUAGUUUUCACUGCGUUUCACCUCCUGUCCUUGAAACCUUUUUUUGUUCUUGGCAAAUAAAAAUACACUUGGCUUCUGAAAUGCAACAAGGAUGCUGCAUUAAAAAGCCGCCUUCUUGCUAGAUCUGCUUUCUUGAGUGCAGCUGGCUUUCCAUCUGCUGAAUUCAGGGAGAAAAAUGGCAAUUUUACACUUCUUCUUAAAGAACUUCCUCUGCUUAUCAGCACUACCAGUGCUCUCCAGGUUAUGAUUCUAGAAUCUUUGAAUUGAGGGGCAGAAGAAAGCAGGAAUGUUUAUUCCAUUUUCAAACCCAGUGAAGGUUAUCGGGAACGUUUUUUGUUUCAUCAGCAGAUGGAAUGAGACCAUCCUCCUCAUCACUAGAGGGCAAUAUUGCAUUUCUGCAAUGGGCUGCAAGGAUCUUUCCCAGGGCUUUCCACAGACACACAUUUUCUGUACGAAAUCAAGUCUCUUAGAGCACAGAGCCUGCACACGAUACUUCACAAAGGAAACCCAAUUCUCAAGUGAUCUCUGGAGUGGAGGGUGUGCUGGGGAGCUACUGGCUCUCACACAUGCACCCAGACAAA